GACAGAGGCGGCGAGCGUUACCCGGAUUCACUGGGCGUAAAGGGUGCGUAGGCGGUCGCGCAUGUCCCCUGUGAAAUGCCCCGGCUCAACCGGUGCACGCCAGGGGAAACUGCGCGGCUGGAGGGCCGGAGAGGGAGGCGGAACUUCCAGAGUAGCGGUGAAAUGCGUAGAUACUGGAAGGUACCUCAAUAGCGAAGGCAGCCUCCUGGCCGGUUCCUGACGCUGAGGCACGAAAGCGUGGGGAGCAAACCGG
rnacentral:rRNA from 1 species